GGGCGGGGGGGAGUUUUCAGGCUUCUUGGCUCGCCUCGCCGUGCUGCGUCGGCUCAACCGAGCGUGCGAAGGGAGGUCUCCGGUUUCGGACUGAGUCGUCAUCUUCCUUUCUUCUUCUUCUUCUUUUAAAUGGUGCUCCGCCGUAAAGAGCAACAGCCACGGCAACGGCCGCCCCGGAGAGGCUCCCGAGGUUAGUGCCUCGUGUGGGAGGAGCAGUGCUCGCCGCUUCUGACUCCUUGGGUUUCCUUCUUUCGGGGUUCCCAACGCUUUGGACCAGGGUUGCUUAACCUUGGGCUCCCAGAUGUUGUUGGACUACAACUCUCAUCAGCCCCAACCCCAGACAUGGCCUUUGUGGCUGAGGAUGAUGGGAGUUGUAGUCCAGCAACAUCUGGGGGGCCAAGGUUAAGCAACCCUGCUUUGGACUGCUGCUGGUCUCCUUGUGUUCUUUCUCCCCCCCCAGCCAAUGCGGAGGGAGGCUUCGCUCUCGGGCUCCUGUUCCCUGGACCAAGGAGGGCUCAGCCCCCCCCCGAACUUCUGGAAGGAGUAUUUAUUUAAUUAUUUAGCAAACUUAUUGCCUCAAGUCGGUGUCGACUCUUAGCAACCACAUAGAUGGAUUCUCUCUAGGCUGAUCCCCUGCUAACUGAGCAGAGAGGCGUCUUUUAAAAGUGGGGAUUCUCUUGAUUUAGCAGGGGCAGAGCAACUGGCCCUAUCCGUCCCCUGCACAGCAUCCCUCCAGUGGCUGUUGCUGGUGGCUGUCUUUAUGUCUCUUUUUAAGAUUGUGAACCCUUUGGGGACAGGGAGCCUUUUUAUUUAUAUCUGUGUAAACUGCUUUGGUAUAUAAAUAUUAGUUGUAUUGUUGUGUGAUCUGUCUUCAACCUGGCCUUUAAGGUCUCAGUGCGAGGCAGUUUACAUAGAUUAAAACAACAACAAGGGGGGCAGGGGGACUUAAUAUAUGUGUCAUCCUGCCUUUCUGUAGGCAAUGCCUGUGGAUAGUGCUAUUCUACAGUGCCUAUUCUUGCAGCUGCAGCAGAGCAAGGUCUGCUUCGAGCAUGGGCAAGUGUUUUGCUUUCGCUGAGGCCUGCCCUUUGGAAAGGGCAGGUCUCCUGUACCUUUUAGAGAGGCGAUGAUGGCAGAAGCCUCCUCUUUAAGAGAUGCACAGAAGAGGCCGUUUCAGCUGUUGCAGCUGCUGAAAUUGCCUCUUCUGUCCAUCUCUUAAACGGUGUAGGAGAUUUCAGCAGGUGCAACCACCUGCUUGAGAAGCUGCAACUGCUUCCUCUGUGCAUCUCUUAAAGGUAUAGGAGACGUGUCCUCCCUCCCAUGUGGUAGCCAUACUUGCUGUGACAGUGACUAGCCGUCGACACAAUCUCUCAUACCAUGGGUUUUAAGAUUUGUAUUACAACCUGUUAUACAUGUUUCAAUUUCCUGUGCAUGUAUGGCUUUUUAAAAAUAUUUAAGUUACCCCACUAUGUACAAUGAGGAUUCCCAGGUAAGCAUGUAUAGGAUUGGAGCCUUACAGUGCAAAACUCUGCAUGUUUACUUGGAAGUAAGGCCUGCUGCAUUCAGUGGGUACCUGAUUCUCAGGAAAGUAUACCUAGGCCUGUCACCUUAGGGUGCAAUCCCCUGGCACACUUGCCUGGAAUUACUUCCAAGUAAAUGUGUAGGAUUGCACUGUUUGGCUCUAAAACUGAUGUAGGGGGUCUCCAGGGUUGUGUGUAUGCUUGUGUGUACAGACGCAUGUGGGUAUGGCAGGGGCGUAGCUAGGGGAGAGGGGGCCCAUGUCCGCCCCUCUCCCCAGCAGCUUCUUGGAGUGAGGGAGAUAAUGAGGAAAAUAAGGAGGUGUGGAGCUGUGGACCCCAGGUUCUUUGAACCCUUUCACUCAAUUAUAGCUACACCCCUGGGUAUGAAUCUGGAAGUUACUUGCUCUGAGGAGAGAAGCUGCAGCUGGAAGCAUUUGACUAUUGUAAGGUGUCAGACUUAUGAAGUUGCUAUUUGUUUUCUUUAUUUCUUUAUUAAAUUUAUAUCCCACCCAAACUUGUGUCUCUGGGUGGCUUUUUUUACAUCCCCUUUCUCACUAUUUCAAUGUUUAUAUUAUCAGGACUCAUGUCAAAGGGACCUAGAACAAAGGAUGAGAAAUACUGGACUCAAUGUUAGCCCUUCAGUGCAGAGGAUGACUUGUGCAGAGAAUUGUAUCCCUCCCUUGUAUUUGACUGCCUGAUUUCACACAGGACAAUAAAAAACACAUUUAAGCUC